CAGCCGCCGCGGUAAAACGUAGGGUGCAAGCGUUAAUCGGAAUUACUGGGCGUAAAGGGUGCGUAGGCGGUUUGAUAAGUCUUGUGUGAAAUCUAUGGGCUCAACCCAUAGUCUGCACAGGAAACUGUCGGGCUUGAGAGUGGGAGAGGUGAGUGGAAUUUCCGGUGUGGCGGUGAAAUGCGUAGAUAUCGGAAGGAACACCUGUGGCGAAAGCGGCUCACUGGACCAUUUCUGACGCUGAUGCACGAAAGCUAGGGGAGCAAACAGGAUUAGAUACCCCCGUAGUCCCUGUCUCUUAUAC
rnacentral:rRNA from 1 species